rnacentral:misc_RNA from 1 species
GUGCGAUAAGUAAUGUGAAUUGCAGAAUUCCGUGAGUCAUCGAAUCUUUGAACGCAAAUUGCACUUCCUGGUAUUCCGGGAAGUAUGCCUGUUUGAGGGUCAGUUUAAUUAAAUAUCGUGGUGUUGCUUUUUUGUGACGCUUCGGAAUUGGGUCAUCUUGAUCCCUUGGGGUUAAGCGGCCUAAAAUUGAUGUUAUUUCUGUGCAUCUCAGACGUACAUAAGAAUUUUUUUUUUAUCCGUCAGGGUUGCCAGGUUCUUAUUAGGUAUGAUCACAUGUUUCUUGUGAAAUCCGUACCUAUAACGUAACUCAUAUUUUGACCUCAAAUCAGGUAGGAAAACCCGCUGAACUUAA